rnacentral:rRNA from 1 species
UGAGUACGAGAUGCUACGGCAUCGAAGCAGUCUAUGUCAUACUUCCAAGAAGAGCUUGCACUGUCAGAAACAGAUAAUGCCUGUACCAUAACCGACACAGGUGGGUAGGUAGAGUAUACUAAGGGGCGCGAGAUAACCUCUCUAAGGAACUCGGCAAAAUGACUCCGUAACUUCGGGAGAAGGAGUGCCUUAUUUUUAAGGUUGCAAUAACAAGAUCCAAGCAACUGUUACCAAAAACACAGGUCUCCGCUAAGUCGUAAGAUGAUGUAUGGGGGCUGACGCCUGCCCAGUGCCAGAAGGUUAAAGAAGUCGGUUAGCAUUCGCGAAGCUGGUAACUGAAGCCCUGGUGAACGGCGGCCGUAACUAUAACGGUCCUAAGGUAGCGAAAUUCCUUGUCGGGUAAGUUCCGACCCGCACGAAAGGCGUAAUGAUUUGGAUACUGUCUCGGAGAGGGGCUCGGUGAAAUAGACUUGUCUGUGAAGAUGCGGACUACCUGCACCUGGACAGAAAGACCCUAUGAAGCUUUACUGUAACUUGAAAUUGAAAUUGGACUUUAUUUGCGCAGUAUAGGUGGGAGGCGUCGAAAAUAUUCUUGCGGGAAUAUUGGAGCCAUCAGUGAGAUACCACUCUUGUAAUGUUAGAUUUCUAACUUUAUAUCAUUAUCUGGUUAAAGAACAGUUUCAGGCGGGCAGUUUGACUGGGGCGGUCGCCUCCCAAAUGGUAACGGAGGCGCACAAAGGUUUCCUCUGAACGGGUAGAAAUCGUAUCUAGAGUGUAAAGGCAUAAGGAAGCUUGACUGUGAGACCUACAAGUCGAGCAGGGACGGAAGUCGGUCUUAGUGAUCUGACGGUGCUGAGUGGAAAGGCCGUCACUCAACGGAUAAAAGUUACUCUAGGAUAACAGGCUGAUCUCCCCCAAGAGUUCACAUCGACGGGGAGGUUUGGCACCUCGAUGUCGGCUCAUCGCAUCCUGGGGCGGUAGUACGUCCCAAGGGUUGGGCUGUUCGCCCAUGAAAGCGGUACGCGAGCUGGGUUCAGAACGUCGUGAGACAGUUCGGUCCAUAUCCGGUGUAGGCGUUAGAAUAUUGAGAGGAGCCUUCUUUAGUACGAGAGGACCGAGAAGGACAUACCUCUGGUGUACCAGUUAUCGUGCCAACGGUAAACGCUGGGUAGCUAUGUAUGGAGUGGAUAACCGCUGAAAGCAUCUAAGUGGGAAGCCCACCUCAAGAUAAGUAUUCUC